AGAUGGAUCAUUCAUAAUUACUAUACAGUAAAUGUGGUGGCUUUUCUUGGCCCGUGUAACAAACGAAUUGAAAGACUCUGGUGUAUACUUUGUGUAACAAACGAACUAAAAGACUCUGGUGAAAUGACCGUGUAAUAAACGAACUGAAAGACUUUGGUGAAAUGACCGUGAAACAGACGAAUUGAAAGACUCUGGUGUAUACUUUGUGUAACAAACGAACUAAAAGACUCUGGUGAAAUGACCGUGUAACAAACGAACUGAAAGACUUUGGUGAAAUGACCGUGAAACAGACGAAUUGAAAGACUCUGGUGUAUACUUCGUGUAACAAACGAAAUAAGAGACUCUGGUGUAUACUUCGUUCAACAAACGACUCUGGUGUAUACUUUGUGUAACAAACGAACCGAAAGACUCUGGUGUAUACUUCGUGUAACAAACGAACCGAAAGACUCUGGUGUAUACUUCGUGUAAUAAACGAACCGAAAGACUCUGGUGUAUACUUCGUGUAACAAACGAAAUAAGAGACUCUGGUGUAUACUUCGUGAAACAAACGAAAUAAAAGACUCUGGUGUAUACUUCGUGUAACAAACGAAGUAAGAGACUCUGGUGUAUACUUCGUGUAACAAACGAAAUAAAAGACUCUGGUGUAUACUUCGUGUAACAAACGAAAUAAAAGACUCUGGUGUAUACUUCGUGUAACAAACGAAAUAAAAGACUUUGGUGUAACCCGUGUAACAAACGAAAUAAGAGACUCUGGUGCAACAGUCGUGUAACAAACGAAAUAAGAGACUCUGGUGUAACCCCCGUGUAACAAACGAAAUAAGAGACUCUGGUGCAACAGUCGUGUAACAAACGAAAUAAGAGACUCUGGUGUAUCCAAAAUAUAAAAAUAUGAAAGACUUUAAUUAUAUUUUUCAGCGAUGGAUGGCUCGGAUCUCAUAACGAUGAAGAACGUAGCUAGCUGCGAAAUGCAGUGUGACAUGCAAACUUCUGUGAAUCAUUAGAUUUUUGAACGCAAAAGGUACUUCUAAAUUCUGGGAGUAUGUUUAUUUCAGUGCUUUUUUAUGUUUGUUGUCCAAAUUGGUGGUCAACGUGGAUAGUGGCUGUGAUAAUGGUCACUUUAAAAGAAUGGUUAUAGUUUUCAGGUGACACUGAAGAAACUAUAUCUACUAAUAUUUCUUUAAUAAGCCUGAACUUGAACAAGUAUACCCGUUGAACUUAAGCAUAUUAUUAGGCGGAGGAAAAGGAACUAACAAGGAUUUCCUUAGUAACGGCGAGUGAACAGGAAACAGCUCAAACUGAAAAUCGACAGUUUUCUGUCGAAUUGUAGUCUCAUGAAGUGCAGCCUGUAAAUAUUUUGAAUUAAGUCUCUUGGAAAAGAGUACCACAGAGGGUGAGGGUCCCGUCUUUAUUCAAAAUUAUUUACUUUCGGUGCAUUUUCAAAGAGUCGCGUUCUUUGAGAUUGGAACGCCAAGUGGGUGAUAAACUUCAUCUAAAGCUAAAUAUUAAUGAGAUUCCGAUAUCGAAAAAGUACCGUGAGGGAACGAUGAAAAGAACUUUGAAAAGAGAGUUAAAAGGAACUGAAAUUGCUGAAAGGGAAGUGGAGGGUUUCAACUGUUUAGCAAUGUUCCCCAUAUGUCCGGGGUAUUUUCUUAUCCAUGAGCAUGUGGUGGAAUUUUGCGGUGACACUGGAUGUGGUUGUUUAGCGUGAUUACAGCUUUGCUUGGCUCUAUUUUAGAGCUCAAUCCUUGCUGGUUUCGAGCUGGAUAAUCUAUGUAUUUCUGAUUUAACAAUAUUGUUGAAUUAUACUUUUCCAGUAAUGUUGAUUCUCUCCUCCCCGUCUUGAAUCACGGACCAAGGAGUCUAUUCUAUGUGUGAGUACAAGGGUUGAAACCUACGUGCGAAAUAAAAGUAACAGUUAGGACGGUUUUAUUACCUGCACUAACAUUCGGUCACUGAAUCGAAGUUGAACACAUAAAAUAGGACCCGAAAGAUGGUGAACUAUGCCUGAGUAGGGUGAAGCUAGAGGAAACUCUGGUGGAAGCUCGUAGCGAUACUGACGUGCAAAUCGUUCGUCAAACUUUGGUAUAGGGGCGAAAGACCAAUCGAACCAUCUAGUAGCUGGUUUCAUC
rnacentral:misc_RNA from 1 species